ACUAAAAUAGUUAAAUGUUAUAACUAAACUUUGAAGAAGUUUGAUUGGGUUGUUAAAUUCCCCCUUUUAGUA
rnacentral:tRNA from 1 species